GCCUAAUGGUUAAGGCUUUGGAUCGCCAAUCCGGAGACGGCGGGUUCGAUUCCCGU
rnacentral:tRNA from 1 species